GGGGCUUUUAGCAAGGGACCUCACCCUUCCCCUCCCGGGUUCCACCCAGCACUGCAGCUUCUGGUGACAGAGACCCCAGGCUUUAGCAAGGAUAAGGGCACAACGCUUACUGAGACUCGACGAGCCCCCACAGCCCAGACGAUACUUCCCCAGGCCUGGAACACAAACACUGCGGGCAGUCUACAGUGUGUGCCACAGGGAGCGACCUAAACACCCAUCACCACAGGCCUAGGAAACAAGGAAAUUCAUACUGUGGAAUACUACACAGCUGUGAAAAUGACUUAGUUUUAGAGCUGUGAAUGGGUAGACUCGGAGCAGGGGGUGAGCACGUGCAGCCUAGGCCUUCUCCAGCCCGAAGGGCAAGAUCCCUGCCACCCCACCACACUCCCAGCCUCGGACAGUUUGUAUUUACACCAUUAAAAAAAAAAACAAAAAAUAAAAACAAAAACUUAGCCGGGCGUUGGUGGCACACGCCUUUAGUCCCAGCACUCGGGAGGCAGAGGCGGGCGGAUCUCUGUGAGUUCGAGGCCAGCCUGGUCUACAGAGUGAGUUCCAGGACAGGCGCCAAAGCUACACAGAGAAACCCUGUCUCGAAAUACCAAAAAUAAAUAAAUAAAUAAAUAAAUAAAACUCACUAGGAAAGAGGUAUAUGUAUGUGGUGUGCUCGGACUAGCAAUAGAAAACCGCUCAAGGCAGCAAGGCUGAGGCUGCUGCAGGCGGGAGUCCGGGUCUCAUUUAUUUACUUUGUGGCUAUAAGUUUUAGUAGUACCAAGAAACAGAGCGCCCUCGCCAGCCCCAUCCAACAAGAGAGUGGAGGGGAGCUCCUGCCCCAGAAGCUGGGCGCCCAGCGGCCUGCGCCCACCCCACAGCCCUGCUCUCUCCCGGUCCUCGGCCCCCACCAGGCAAGCGGGAGCCCCGUCGGUGCUCGGUGCGGCGAGGAGGGGAGCUGCUGGCUUGGGCCCCGCUGCUGCAGCCGGGCGGGGCGCAGAGCCAGCAAGCUGGAGCCAGGCAGCCUCCCGGGCCUCCUCGCAGCCGCUUUUGAUAAAGCCUCUCUGUGCGUGGGGUGGGGGCCCGGCCGGCUGGAGCCAGCGCACAUCUGGAGGCCAGCAGAGGCCCAGGCAGCCGGCGGCCGACAGCGGCGCCAUCCCGAGCCACACGCCCGGCCCUGGGUAAACACGCCCGCGCCCACCCAGCGGCUCACCUUUCGCCCACAAGGCUGCCUUUCUUCUCGGACCCGGGCCCAUGCCACCGCGAACAUUCCUCCCGGGCACAGGGCAGAACAGGCCGCUCACCCCACGGCUGGUUGAAAUCCGAAUCCCAGCAGGGCCAGGUUGAGGUGGAGGGGGGCUCAGGGAAGCAUCUCCUGCUCGCCAGGCCCUGACUGUGGUUCAACACCCUCCCCCAAGGCCCCCUGAAAUGGGGAUGUGUGCGUGAAGGUGAUCCAUGAAUUCCUACGGAAGCCAAGGUUGAGAUCCUGGCUCCAGCUGUGUGCCCUUUGAAAAGUCUCUCUGCCUCUCUGAGCCUCGGGCUGGGGCACACAGCUGUCCUACACCCAGAGGGUCCAAUGGGUUUCCAGAAGUUACUGUAAGCGAAGUGAUGGGAAGGGUUCUGGCUGCAGCCUGGGCCUCCCAAGGUGGCUAGUGCCAUCCGGCUUUCCCAAGGCCACUCUGCCAGACACUAGAGGGAGGUGGUAGAAACAGGAGUAUAGGCCUUGGAGCUGUGUCAUUUCUUGGAGGAGCAGACCCCACCAUCUCUGUCCCUUCUCCUGGUAGGUUACUGCUCUGUUACAGCCGCAGGGACAGCAGGCCUUGGACCUCACCAUCUGAGAGGACACAGGGUCUCCUGGCGUCUGCAGUGCUCUGUCAGCACAUUCUUCUGCUUCGACCACCUUCUGUUUCUUCUUCAGAGAGACUCCCAGAGAGUGGGCACUGGGGGGAUGGUGACAGCCACAAAGGGCCCUGGGCGCUUCCUGGAAGAGGGGGCCUGGGGCUUUCAGGUUGGAGGAAGAGAGGGCAUGACUGGCAGCUGUGUACAUAGCAUAGCUUGAACACUCGGUGGAGCGUCUGCCUUCCCAGCUCACCUAAGAGGAAACUGAUGCCCAGGAGCGGGAUCUGCUUCAUUCACUGGGGAGUCUAGGCCAUGGGCAUCGUCCCUCCUGUCUCUGUUAGUACACAAGUCUACUGUGUCCUGGGUCCCCAGUCCUGAAGUAUGCUUCCUUUUGGGAGCCCCUUCCUUGCCUCUCUGCCCCUGCCCCUGUCUCUUCUGGCCUCUGUUUCCGUCUCUGAGAAACAGCUUCACCCUCCAAGGUGCCACUCUGACCAGGCUCCCUGACUGGCUGGGGCACGUGGAAGUGGGCAACUGGAGCCGGCUGGUGGGAGGGUCCUCCACCUGCUGCCCCCCUGGUCCCAUGAACCUGCUCGCCAGGCUGGAGCCAGCCGCCAUCUGGAAUGCCGGGCUGUUUAUGGAGCCGGGCGGCUGCAGCCCUGGCCCUGACCCGGCCAAUCUGGAAGCGAUUAGCAGCUGGGCCAAGGGGUAUUAGGAGUUCUCAUCAGUGUGGGAUCCACCGCCCACCCCUGCACCGGUGGAUCCCAGGCUGUGCUGGGGGUCUCUGAGAAGUCUGCUCUCUCCACCAGCUCCUGCUCCACGCCCACAGCUCAGAACCCCAUGAUUCACAGUGGCAGGAGCUAAGCCACAUGCAGGCCAAGGGUCUGGGUGGAGCUUCAGCCAGAAUCUGGGGCUUUCCCCCAGGAAGAAUGCCUUUUCAAAAUAUGAAAGUACUCAGAAAGGAAUACUGACUCCAACAGAAAAGCCCGGAGGCAGACAGAGAGAGCCACUGUCACCAAGUGACAGCUCUCUGUCCUGCCCCUGCCUUGGCCCCAGGAUGAAUCUGCACUUGUGAGCCUGCAGCCCAUCAGAGUGAAGCUAGAGGCUGCAGCAUGGAGGGGAGCUGUCUUGCUGUGCACCCCAGAUGUCUCAAUGUUUCCCAUGCAUUAAUCACAUGGGUGGGAGACCCUGUCAGGAGGCUGUUCUCUUCGUCACUGUCCCCAUUAGAGGAAACAGAAGUGCACAGAUGAGGUACCUGCCUGGUGUCACACAAGGUGACAGGCAAAGGAGAUGCAGGCCCUGACUGCCAGCUCCCAGGACCAAGUUCCAAACUUCUUUACCAUGUUGCCUCUCCCUGGGCUACAGAGAGUUCUGGAGAGAUCUGGGAUCUGGACAGGCCUCCAGUGGUGCACAGCUGGCUUCCUUCCAUCGUGGGCUGGCCAGACGACAUCUGUGGCAGGGGUGGGGGUGUGGGGGUGUUUCCAUUCCCAGAAGGGGCUGUUUGUCACCAUGGUGACCAUUUCCUGGGCUGAGGGCCAUCCUCCCAAUGUCCUCCAUGGGGAGGUGUUGCUGAUGUUGACCUGGGUCCCUGCCUUCAAUCCCAUGUCCUAG
ensembl:lncRNA